UCCUGGUAUAUGGUAGCCAGGUGAGUCAAUCAUAAGACAAAGUUAUCAUGAAAUAGAGUUAAUAGGGUAUAGGCUUAGGGUAUGGCAGAUGGAAGGUGUAACAUAUGAAAGAAGUUAAGCAGAUUUUUUGAAUUCUGAUUUUCUGGGUGGUUCCCCUUGUCAUAUAAUGAACUAUUACAUUUCAUUUCUGAAGAACUGAAGAGAUUAAAGCAUUCAUCUGUAGCUCAUGAAUUACUCUGAAAGCUAUUCAGAAUUUAAAUGUUAUAGCUGGUCUCUCAUUUUUCAUCGUCUAAUAAAUGAGUUUAUGAAUAAACAAAUGAGUUCAUAUAUUCCAAACAACAGAUCAUUCAUGUUCCCCCAAUUCCUUCAUUUAUUCAAUGGAUAUUACUGAUCUACAGAGGGUUGGGCUUUAUACUAAACGGCAGCCUGAAUGAGACUAACAUUUUCUAUGCCCCCAUGGAAUAUACAAAUCAGUAAGAACACAGGCAUUAAACAAAGGUAUUUGUUUGUUAAUAGAACUAUAUAAAUGAAAUGAGCUGUGGAAAAGAACCAGAGAACAGGUGAGUGGGGAGUUACAUCAGACAGCGAAGCCAGCAAAAGCUCCCGAAGAAGGCAUCAGGUCCUAACCUAGGACCUGAGGUACCAGGAGCAGGCCAGGCAUGUGGAAAAACUUUCCAAACAGUAGAAAUAGCAAGUGCAAAGGUGCUGAGUCAGGAAGGGUUUCAGGAAGUGACAGAAAGCCAUUGAUGUCAGGCAGAGAAAGCAAGGAACACGGUGGCAAGAGAUGAAUUAGGGCUAGGGAGGAGGGCCUCUCCAAGCCAAGCAAGGGAAGAUCCCACAAGCAUGUUCUGUUCCGUGGAUCAAUCAGCUCCAAACCAAAGUAGACAUGUUGUCGACUCCAGUGCCUGGAAAUCCUGCUGCAGGCUCACCAGAUGAUGAAAACUGAGGGAAGCGUUAUUUGGAUGCAGGCUCUUGCUGUGGCUGCUGUGAUCUUCUCCAAGUAACUAGCUACCUGAAUGGAUCUUAGAUCUUCCAAUCAAAUGGAUGACAAGGAGUGAAAAGACAUGACCAGUGAACUCCUGUGGAAACAAGGAAAGCAAGUUUGAAAGCAAGAGAGACUGGGGGUGGGAGCAGGAAUGAGGGAAGAGAACUAUGGUGAAGACCCCAAAAUUAAUUUUUAGAAAUGACCUCCCAGUAAAGUCUCUUACUUAUAAGCCAUGCCAACUUAUAAGGCAAAAUAAAAUCUGAGGCUAUAUAAAAAUGUAAUUAAAAAAAUAAAUAAAAAUAUAUUUGAAUGAAAAAUGAGAGAAUUCUAAACUCAGAAAAAAUUAUGACAGGAACAAGCAACUGCAUUAUUGCAAAGGCAAACAUGAUACACCACAACAAUAUAAAUGAAUCUCAUAUGCAUUAUUCAUUUGCAUCACUAUAUGCAAGACCAAGGUAUUAUAUGUGCAUAUAUGCAUUAUGCAUACAGUUAAAGUGAAAGAAGCCCAACUCAAAGGCUACACACUGUAUGAUUCUAUUUAUAAGAUAGACUUGAAUGUGGUAUAUGUAUACAAUGGAAUAUUAUUCAGCCAUAGGAGAGGAGGGUAUCUUGCCACUUGUGACAGCAUGGGUGGACCCUGAGCACAUUAUGCUAAGUGAGAUAAGUCAAAGACAAGUACUGAUUCUUACAUACAAUCUGAAAAAGUCACACUUAUAAAACACCAACUAAAAUGGUGGUUACUCUGGGAUGGGGUGUUAGGGAUUAAGAUUAAUGUCACUUAAGGGUACAAACUUGCAACUUGCUUAUAAACAAGUCAUAGAGAUCUAAUGUAUAUGGGAUAUAGACAACAAUGUGGCACCACAGUUAUGUAAUGUGAUAAAUGUCACUACAAUGGCAAUCAUGUUAUGAUAUAUAAACACAUCAAAGUAACACACUAGACACCAUAAAUUUAUACAGUGUAAAAUUUGCCUUAAAAAAAAAAAAAGCAGACUUGAGAGAACAAAACUAUAGGGACAGAAAACAGAUCAAUGGUUACCAGGGCCUGGAAGAUGAGGAAAAAAGGCUGACUAAAAGCCAUAUGGAAAAAUUUUGUAACAUGAUUUUGUUAAAAUAUACAGAACUUUACACUAAAAAGGGGUUAAUUUUGCCAUACGUAAA